AUUGAACGCUGGCGGCAUGCUUUACACAUGCAAGUCGAACGGCAACACGGGGGCAACCCUGGUGGCGAGUGGCGAACGGGUGAGUAAUACAUAGGAACGUAUCCUGAAAUGGGGGAUAGCUCGGCGAAAGCCGGAUUAAUACCGCAUACGAUCUACGGAUGAAAGCAGGGGAUUCGCAAGAACCUUGCGUUUCUGGAGCGGCCUAUGUCUGAUUAGCUAGUUGGCGGGGAAAAGCCCACCAAGGCGACGAUCAGUAGCUGGUCUGAGAGGAUGAUCAGCCACACUGGGACUGAGACACGGCCCAGACUCCUACGGGAGGCAGCAGUGGGAAUUUUGGACAAUGGGGGCAACCCGUGAUCCAGCCAUGCCGCGUGAGUGAAGAAGGCCU
rnacentral:rRNA from 1 species